AACGAACGUUAGCGGCGCGCUUAACACAUGCAAGUCGUGCGAGAAAGGGGAAACCCCGGUAAAGCGGCGCACGGGUGAGUAACACGUAGGUAAUCUGCCCCCAGGUGGUGGAUAACCUUCCGAAAGGAGGGCUAAUACAGCAUGAGACCACGGGCCCGACAGGGACUGAGGUCAAAGCCGGCCUCUUCAUGAAAGCUGGCGCCAGGGGCUGAGCCUGCGGCCCAUCAGCUAGUUGGUAGGGUAACGGCCUACCAAGGCGAAGACGGGUAGCUGGUCUGAGAGGAUGAUCAGCCACACUGGAACUGAGACACGGUCCAGACUCCUACGGGAGGCAGCAGUGGGGAAUCUUGCGCAAUGGGCGAAAGCCUGACGCAGCGACGCCGCGUGAGUGAUGAAGGCCCUCGGGUUGUAAAGCUCUGUGGAGAGGGACGAAUAAGUGUUGGCUAACAUCCAGCAUGAUGACGGUACCUCUUUAGCAAGCACCGGCUAACUCUGUGCCAGCCGCCGCGGUAAAAC
rnacentral:rRNA from 1 species